UUAUUUUCCCUCUCUCCCCCUCACGUUCCCUUCCUCCCUCUUUUCCCUCAUUCUCGCCUCAUCUCCCUCGUCCCACUCACCCCCACCCUUUUCAGCUCUCUCUCUUUCUCUUCUUCAUCUCAAUACCGCCGCACCCCCCUACCCUACACUCCCCACUUGUUCCCCCCGCUCCUCUUUCAUCAUCACCUACGCUCCCCUCCGCUCCUUUCUUUCCUCACUCUAUAAAGGAGAGGAGCAAAAUCUGAUUAAAGGGGGGAUUUUUGGAAUGGUCGAGGGACGGGAGCCGAAAUCAAAUAAAAAAGGGGAUUGAACACGAUUUGAAGAAUUUCUGGGCUUGGAAUUCUGUUUUAGCCACUUAGAUUCCUCUGAAAACAUUAAUAUUCUUAAGCCUUAACACUUUCGGGUAGCGAUUCAAAAUAGCAAACCAUAUUUUUGCUCCUUUUCUCCCCCCUGCUACUAAAUUUCGAUUUCAAGCAUAGACGAGUUGAGGUUCGCUCGUGUUCGGGUCUAUUCAUAACGAGAGUGUAGAUUCGAUGACUUCGACGCCUCAGUUCAUUGCGCGCAAAACAGGUAUGGAUUUGCAUUGGAGUACAACAAAUGACGAAGAUCAAGGGCAUCACAAAUGGAGCUAGAAAGUUAGACAUAGAAAUUUUAUUUACUUUAUUUAGAUUAGGAAACACUUUAUGUUGUAUUCAUUUGACAUGUAAUAAAUAUUACAUUAUUUUGUACUUUAUUUUUUGAGAAAUAUAAUUUGUUUAAUUAAUCAAAAGCAACGGGAUGACAUAUUAUGACACA